CAUCCGAAAGUGAGCGGCCGGUGGAAACAGAGGACACGCGGGCCCUCGGCAGCCCCCGUAGCCUGCUCUGCCAGUUUGAGGCCUAAGCUGGCUGCUCUGGCCUCUCUUCUCUCCUCUCCGGGUUGCAGCGCGCGGCGCGAGGAGAGGGAUUGGAGAGGAAGCGCGCGGCCGGAGGCCCAGAGCUAGAGUCGAGCAGGCGCCGGGUCUCCAGACUCCGGCUCCCGGCCCCGGCACUGAUCCGUCCGCCCGCCCGUCCCCCGGAGUCGGAGUAGGGAGGGCAGUCCGAGCCCCUCAGGCCAGUAGGUGUCAGUCAUUUGCCUCCGGGAUGACAAGCUCCUGACGCAGCCACCGUCCAGGGUCGCCUCCCCGAGGGUGAAUGUGUGUCGCCCUCCGAUUGUUCGCAUUUGAGUAUGCAGAAGAUCAGCUCUUCCGCAACCAGAUGACCUCAGGUCAUCACCCUCGGGUCUGCAAUUUUCCAACCUGCCCAAGGGUGCCCAAGCUCGUC